rnacentral:rRNA from 1 species
CCUACGGGAGGCAGCAGUGGGGAAUAUUGGGCAAUGGGCGCAAGCCUGAACCAGCCAAGUCGCGUGAGGGAAGACUGCCCUAUGGGUUGUAAACCUCUUUUGUCAGGGAGCAAUUGGCGCUACGUGUAGCGUUAUCGAGAGUACCUGAAGAAAAAGCAUCGGCUAACUCCGUGCCAGCAGCCGCGGUAAUACGGGGGAUGCGAGCGUUAUCCGGAUUUAUUGGGUUUAAAGGGUGCGUAGGCGGAAUGCCAAGUCAGCGGUAAAAUCGCGGGGCUCAACCUCGCUCCGCCGUUGAAACUGGCGUUCUGGAGUGGGCGAGAAGUAUGCGGAAUGCGUGGUGUAGCGGUGAAAUGCAUAGAUAUCACGGAGAACUCCGAGUGCGAAGGCAGCAUACCGGCGCCCAACUGACGCUGAAGCAGGAAAGCGGGGGUAUCGAACAGGAUUAGAUACCCGUGUAGUC